CGCGUAGGCGGUUAAAUCAGUCAGAUGUGAAAUCCCCGAGCUUAACUUGGGAACUGCGUUUGAAACUGCAAGACUAGAAUAUGUCAGAGGGGGGUAGAAUUCCACGUGUAGCAGUGAAAUGCGUAGAGAUGUGGAGGAAUACCAAUGGCGAAGGCAGCCCCCUGGGAUAAUAUUGACGCUCAUGCACGAAAGCGUGGGGAGCAAACAGGAUUAGAUACCCCUGUA
rnacentral:rRNA from 1 species